CCUCGGCUCCUGCUCCAGCGGCACAAUGUGAUCCACCGGCAAGGAGGGAUGCCAAUAAGGCAUCCAAUAAGAUAAGUCUUAUAAAAUAUAUAGGUUUAUGAUAGUUAAGAUUGAACUAGCAGAUGAGAAUCCUAGUCAUUGGCCAAGUAGCUUUGAAUCUAAUACAUGUUUCUGUGUAUUCAUUUGGGCCUAACUCGGGCUGGCGUAAAGCUCACAUGCAGCGGUGGGGCUCAGGCGGCUUUUGGCAGAAAGAUUUAUCAUAACACCAGCCUCUUUUGGUCCCUUUGCUAUCCCAGUUCCUAGGGCUCGCCUGACAUUCAAAAGGUGCUCAGUAAACAUUGAUGCGUGGUUGGCUGAAUUAAUAAUAGAUGGACGUGAGGUUCACUGGCCAUCAGUCCGAGGUGUCAGGUACAGGGGCGCUCACUGAAAGGCUUUCUCUAACUGCUCCUUCCUCCUUUCUUCUUCAGCAACGUGAGGAUGUGGACUAUAGACCUGACUUCUGGGUCCCAGGCCUGAGAAGCUCUCAGAAUAUCAGCCAGUGCCAGAAAGCCUUUCCCCUAGUGGCUAAGCAACCCUCCAUUGCUCAUUCUGCUUUCUGCUCUCUUUAAAGGGGACAGUGUGACCAGAAGUGGCUGGUGGCCUUUGCAACAGCAGGGGGAUUUGGGAGAGGAUGUCCCAGAGUGCCUCCGUGGCUGUGAGAAAUGGCUGAAGCAUAAGCACAAGGAAGACAUUUUGGGGAACAUCAUCGUUCACCUCGGGAGUGAUGGGUGGUCGGCUGUGUGAAGAUGAAGCUCAGUAUCUCCUUCCCCACCAUCAGAACCACCAGAAACUCAAGCUUUGGACAUUCUGUGAGAAUCGCAUAGCCACAGAGGGAAAUGAAUGGAACUGGAGACGGCCAAGUUAAGAGAAAUAAACGAGACUCAGAAAGACAAAG
rnacentral:lncRNA from 1 species